rnacentral:rRNA from 1 species
UACGUAGGGGGCAAGCGUUGUCCGGAUUUAUUGGGCGUAAAGAGCGUGUAGGCGGCCUGAAAGGUCAGCUGUGAAAACUCGAGGCUCAACCUCGAGACGUCGGUUGAAACCAUCUGGCUAGAGUCCGGAAGAGGAGUGUGGAAUUCCCGGUGUAGCGGUGAAAUGCGCAGAUAUCGGGAAGAACACCAGUGGCGAAGGCGGCUCACUGGACCGGAACUGACGCUGAGGCGCGAAAGCGUGGGGAGCAAACAGG